GGUAAGGAAAGCAAAGUUCUUCAGCCGGUGCUGCUUUAUUGUCACCACACUCCAAAUGCGCGGUGGUGAAAUUCCUGAUUAUUUCCACGCUUCAGCUGAUGGUCCACAAGUGGUCACCUGCAGUCAUCGUUCAUCUUUUUUCAGUUGGAGAUGCUGCAAAUGCCAGAGAUGAGAUGAGGGGAAACACAUCAAGGCUUUCUUUGCUUCCUGCCUUUGAGCCUGUGAUGGGUUUCUGUGGGUCUGAAGCCCUGCUGUAAGAGCUCGCAGCAGCUGGAAGUGUAAUGCACUGCAGCUCGGUGCCUCCUGAGGCACUCGGGCACAGCCUGGAGGAGUUUAAUGGCACUGAGGAUGGUUUUACCAACGCAUGAACCAACAUGGGCUGAGAGAGCAACUCACAAUACCUUCCUGCAACAGAGAAAGUCCAGUUUCCAUAAUAAAUAAUGAGGAGGCGUUACUUCUGGAGCAACCUGUCUAUUCCUCAGUCAUCGAAGGUGCUGAAAAGCAGAUAAGGCUGCACGUUUGCCUCCUCGUCAGCCACCCCACAGUACUGCUGGUUACACCGCUGGUGAAUGCUAACGUCAAACUGAUUUGCUCCCAAGAAGCCACUGCUGCGUGCUCCUGCAGGGAUGCUGCUGGCUGCCCCCCGCUCUCUGCUGUGCUUUGUGUGCUCCACGGGUGUUCUCUCCCUGAAGCAGUGGUUACGUGGGAUUUGGGGCUCCUUUUCCAACCCCUCCUGCGAAAGGAGAGCACAGGUGAGACUCUUAUCAGCUAUCUCUCUGCAGUUACGGACUGGGAGUCUCUCUUAUCUCUUUAACCUUCACGUAGCCCUUGCCUGGAGGCACUCGAUGCGGUGGUUACUUUAUCCAGACUGCUCUCUGGAUCACAGAUCCCUGAACAAUAACAGAGAGGGGUGGCAGAGGCAAGCCUGGACUAGAAAUCAGAUCGGAAAUACUGAGAAAUGAGAGUUAAACAAAAGCUGCAUCACGUAACGAGGGGUCCUGGCUGCCAUGGGGCCCGUCCUGUCCCUGCUCAGCAACCAGCCCUGCCUUGCAGAGACCCGGCAGGGAUGCUGCAGGAGGGAAACUCCUCCGUUUGGGGCUCUAGCUCUGAGAGGGGCAUUGCUGGCAUUUACUCAGGGGCCAAGAAAGCCGCAGUCAAGCUUAGCACAUAGCUAACCUACCCCAUCCCUGCAGGUGCUCAAGGCCAGGUUGGAUGGGGCCCUGGGCAGCUGGGUCUGGUGCCUGAUUUCGUGGUUGUCUUGUGGUUUCUUGUCUUGUGGGUUUUGCUCACAGCAAGGGGUGGAACUAGGUGGUCUUUGAGAUCCUUCCCAACCCAUACCAUUCUGUGACUAUCAUUCUAAGUUUAUGGCUGGCCUAAGGGAUGUCUGACAGGGUUAAGUCCAGUUUAAUUGGUCUGCCUGCUGCAUCAAAACAGUCUAUCUAGCAGAAAGAUGAGUAAAGCAAGCAUUUGUGGAGACGGGCACUGCUCCACAGGGUCUGUGCUGUUUCAUGCAGUGAUCCUUCAAAGCCAUCAAUGCAUUACUAACGGUCUGUGAUUUCUGAGCUGCCUCCACUGAUUUAGCUGGUGUCUGUCUCACGUGUUGGAAGUGGUCCUGUCUUUGCAGGGUGAGGGCUGUGGGCACAGGAAUCCAGAACAAGCCAGUGAGCAGAGGUUUAAUCAGCACGAUCAGCUCUCGGUGUUGGGAUGCUUUUCACUGGUGAGCUAUGGGAAAUCCUCUUUGGUGUUCCAGGCAGUUUCCUGGGGGAAUGUAUAUUACAA
rnacentral:lncRNA from 1 species